rnacentral:rRNA from 1 species
UGCGUAGGGUGCAAGCGUUAAUCGGAAUUACUGGGCGUAAAGCGUGCGCAGGCGGUUUUGUAAGUCUGUCGUGAAAUCCCCGGGCUCAACCUGGGAAUUGCGAUGGAGACUGCAAGGCUAGAGUUUGGCAGAGGGGGGUAGAAUUCCACGUGUAGCAGUGAAAUGCGUAGAUAUGUGGAGGAACACCGAUGGCGAAGGCAGCCCCCUGGGUCAAGACUGACGCUCAUGCACGAAAGCGUGGGGAGCAAACAGG